rnacentral:misc_RNA from 1 species
CAACCCUCAAGCUCAGCUUGGUGUUGGGACUCGCGGUAACCCGCGUUCCCCAAAUCGAUUGGCGGUCACGUCGAGCUUCCAUAGCGUAGUAAUCAUACACCUCGUUACUGGUAAUCGUCGCGGCCACGCCGUUAAACCCCCCAAUUUUCCAAA